rnacentral:rRNA from 1 species
GACGAACGCUGGCGGCGUGCUUAAUACAUGCAAGUCGAACGGAAAGGCCCUGCUUUUGUUGGGCGCUCGAGUGGCGAACGGGUGAGUAACACGUGAGUAACCUGCCCUUGACUUUGGGAUAACUCUUGGAAACUGGGGCUAAUACCGCAUAGGAUCUCCUGCUGCAUGGUGUGCGUUGGUAAGAUUCGGUGGUUGGGGAUGGACUCGCGGCUUAUCAGCUUGAUGGUGUAGUAGGUGCUUACCAGGGCUUUGACGGGUAGCCGACAUGGGAGGGUGACCGGGCACAUGGGGACUACGAGAGGGAGCAGACGGCAACGGGAGGCAGUGGUGGAAAGUAUUGCGGAGUAGGCCGAAGCCAGAUACAACGACGCCGGGUGCGGAAUAACCGCUUUCGGGGUGUAAACCGAUUUCGAAUGUAACGUAGAGUGAGUGACGGUAAUGGGUAAGAAAGCAACGGCUAACUACGUG